rnacentral:misc_RNA from 1 species
GAUGAAGAACGUAUCGAAAUGCGAUAAGUAAUGUGAAUUGCAGAAUUCAGUGAAUCAUCGAAUCUUUGAACGCACAUUGCGCCCCCUGGUAUUCCGGGGGGCAUGCCUGUUCGAGCGUCAUUUCACCACUCAAGCCUCGCUUGGUAUUGGGCAUCGCGGUCCGCCGCGUGCCUCAAAUCGACCGGCUGGGUCUUCUGUCCCCUAAGCGUUGUGGAAACUAUUCGCUAAAGGGUGUUCGGGAGGCUACGCCGUAAAACAACCCCAUUUCUAAGGUUGACCUCGGAUCAGGUAGGGAUACCCGCUGAACUUAAGCAUAUCAAUAAGCGGAGGA